rnacentral:rRNA from 1 species
AUUGAACGCUGGCGGCAGGCCUAACACAUGCAAGUCGAGCGGAGCGGGGGACGGGUGAGUAAUGCCUAGGAAUCUGCCUGGUAGUGGGGGAUAACGUCCGGAAACGGGCGCUAAUACCGCAUCCUAUCAGAUGAGCCUAGGUCGGAGUAGCUAGUUGGUGGGGUAAAGGCCUACCAAGGCGACGAUCCGUAACUGGUCUGAGAGGAUGAUCAGGCACACUGGAACUGAGACACGGUCCAGACGCCUACGGGAGGCAGCAGUGGGGAAUUUUGGGCAAUGGGCGAAAGCCUGACCCAGCCAUGCCGCGUGUCUGAAGAAGGCCUUCGGAUUGUAAGGCACUUUUGUUAGGGAAGCGGUACCUGAAGAAUAAGCACCGGCUAACUACGUGCCAGCAGCCGCGGUAAUAC